CAGGAAACCCAUUCAGUCCUCUUCUCUUCCAGGUAUCCACCUCUGUGCAGUAUAUUCCUCCUGUUGUUUGCUAAUGCCUUCAGGCCAGGCAUGGUGGCUCACACCUGUAAUCCCAGCGAUUUGGGAGGCUGGGUCAGGAAGAUCACUUGAGCUCAAGAUUUUGAGACCAGCCUGGGACACAUAGUUCCUGUUUCUGCAAAAGAAAAAAAAAGAAAAGGAAAAAAAAGUAUAUAUAUGUUCUAUUUUGAAAACUGCUGAAUCUUUUGUUGUAAUAGCUUUAUUGAGAUAUAAUUCAUAUACCAUACGACUCACCCAUUUAAAGCGUACAAGUCAACAAUUUUUAAUACUCACAGAAUUGUGCAACCAUAGCCACAAUUAAUUUUAGAACUUUCCACUCGGGCGCAGUGGCUCCUGCCUGUAAUCCCAGAACUUUGGGAGGCCAACUUGGGCAGAUCACCUGAGGUCAGGAGUUCAAGACCAGCCUGGCAAACAUGGUGAAACUCCAUCUCUACAAAAAUACAAAAAUUAGCCGGGCAUGAUGGCGGGUGCCUGUAAUCCUACCUACUCGGGAGGCUGAGGCAGGAGAAUUGCUUUAACCGGGGAGGUGGAGGUUGUAGUGAGCCGAGAUCACGCCAUUGCACUCUAGCCUGGGCGACAGAGUGGGACUCCAUCUCAAAAAGAAAAAAAAAGGAAAAAAAAGAAACCUCAGCAGAGGAGGAAAAACUGUAAAAAAAAGAAAAAAAAAGAAUUUUGUGCAUAGAAAUUGAAAAUUUGGAAAUGAAAAUUUCAGACUAAAAAUUAAAAUGUCAAAGAAAUCAAGUAUUACAGCUCUUUUAGAAUCCGUCUAGCAGGUUUUCCAGUUUUUACCAGAAAACUCUCCAAAAAAAUUUUUUUUAAAUAGUCCGGGCAUAGUGGCUGACACUUGUAAUCCCAACAGCUGGGGAGGCCAAGGCCGGAGGAUUGCUUGAACCCAGGAAUUUGAGACCAGCCUGGGAGAUCCUGUCUCUACAAAAAAUAAAAAAAUAAAAAAAAAAUCCUGUCUUUACAAAAAAAAAAACAACACAAAAAAUUAGUCAGGUAAGGUGGCAUGUACUUGUAGUCCUAGCUAAUUGGGAGGCUGAGGUGGGAGGAUUGCUGAGCCCAGGAGGUUGAGGCUGCAGUGAGCCAUGUUCAUGGCACAGCAUUCCAGCCUGGGCGACAGAGUGAGACUUUGUCUCAAAAAAAUAAAUAAGGGCUGGGCACAGUGGCUGUAAUCCCAGCACUUUGGGAGGCCAAGGAGGGCAGAUCACUUGAGGUCAGGAGUUUGAGACCAGCCUGGCCAACAUGGUGAAACCCCGUCCCUACUAAAAAUACAAAAAUUAACUGGGCAUGGUGGUGUGCACCUGUAAUCCCAGCUACUCAGGAGGCUGAGGCAGGAGAAUUGCUUGAACCCGGGAGGCAGAGGUUGCAGUCAGCCGAGAUUGUGCCACUGCACUCCAGCCCAGCCUGGGGGACAGAGCAAGACUCCAUCUCAAAUAAAUAAAUAAAUAAAUAGGGCCAGGUGAGGUGGUUCACGUCUGUAAUCCCAGCACUUUGGGAGGCCGAGGCAGGAGGAUCACUUGGGCCCAGGGGUUUUAUUUAUUGUUUUAAUUUAAUUUAAUUAAUUUAUUUAUUUUUGUCAUGGAGUCUCCUCUGUUGCCCAGGCUGGAGUGCAGUGGCGCCAUCUAGGCUUACUACAACCUUUGCCUCCCAGGCUCAAGUGAUUCUGUUGCCUCAGCCUCCUGAGUAGCUGGGACUGCAGGUGUGCACUGCCACACUUGGCUAGUUUUUGUAUUUUUAGUAGAGACGGGGUUUCGCCAGUGUUGCCCAGGCUGGUCUCUCCUGGCCUUAAGUGAUCUGCCCACCUCAGCCUCCCAAAAUGCUGGGAUUAAAGGCUUGAGCCACAGCACCCGGCCUGAGCCCAGAGGUUCUAGACCAGCCUAAGCAACAUAGCAAAACCUCAUCUCUCUCUCUCUCUCUCUAUCUCUCCAUAUACAUAUAUAUAUAUUUGGCCAGGGGUGGUGGCGCUUGCCUAUAAUCCCAGAUACUUGGGAGACUGAGGUGGGAGAAUCACUUGAAACUAGGAUGUGGAGGUUGCAGUGAGCCGAGAUCGUGCCUCUACACUUUAGCCUGUGCAACAAAGGGAGACUCCAUCUCAAAAAAAAAAAGAUAACCUGACACUGGAAAAGUCUGGCAGAUACCACCUUAACCUAAUGAUCAAGGCUAACAUCACUAGUAAUGGGGAAAUCAAAAUUGUGUACCACCUGACAGGAUGCAAUGAGAGCACAGCAUCCCUUUCAUGCUAUUCCUGCUAAAGAUAAUACAUUUCCUAAAUCUAAUCAUGAGGAAACAUCAGACAAGUCCAAACUGAGCAACAUUUUGCAGAUUAAUUGUCCUAUGAUCAUCAAAAGUGUCAAGGUUAUGAAAGCCAAAGAAAGAAUAUUUCCCUGACUGAAGGAUACUAAAACGAUGCAGUAACUGCUAAGCAUUACGUCUAAUUGGAUCGUUUAUGCAUAAAAGACAUUAUUGGGAUAAAUGGUGAAAUUUUAUCAGCUGCUGAGGAUUAAUUUCCUGAUACUGAUUAUUGUAUUAUGGUUACAAAAUGUAUGUUGUCUAUGUGGUUAUGUAUGUGUGUUUGGAGAAAAUACACACUAAAGUAUUUGGGGGUGAUAAAACUUGUCAGGUUGUCAACUUACUUGCAAAUAGUUCAUGAAGAAAUAAUACUUUUGUACUUUAAAAAACAAUUCUGGGCCGGGAGCGGUGGCUCACGCCUGUAAUCCCAGCACUUUGGGAGGCCGAGGCGGGCAGAUUGCCUGAGCUCAG
rnacentral:lncRNA from 10 species